ensembl:miRNA
GAGGUGGGAGGAUCCCUUGAGCCGGGGAAGUUGAGGCUGCUGUGAGCUGUGAUCAUACCACUGCACUCCAGCCUGGGUGACAGAGCGAGACCAUUUCUC